UACGUAGGGUCCGAGCGUUGUCCGGAAUUAUUGGGCGUAAAGAGCUCGUAGGCGGCUUGUCGCGUCGACUGUGAAAACCCGCGGCUCAACUGCGGGCCUGCAGCCGAUACGGGCAGGCUAGAGUUCGGUAGGGGAGACUGGAAUUCCUGGUGUAGCGGUGAAAUGCGCAGAGAUCGGUAGGAACACCAGUGGCGAAGGCGGUCUCCUGGGGCAUUCUUGACGCUGAGGCGCGAAAGCUGGGGGAGCGAACGGG
rnacentral:rRNA from 1 species